GACGAACGCUGGCGGCGCGCCUAACACAUGCAAGUCGAACGAGCGAGAGAGAGCUUUCUUUCUCGAGCGAGUGGCGAACGGGUGAGUAACGCGUGAGGAACCUGCCUCAAAGAGGGGGACAACAGUUGGAAACGACUGCUAAUACCGCAUAAGCCCACGUCUCGGCAUCGAGCAGGGGGAAAAGGAGCAAUCCGCUUUGAGAUGGCCUCGCGUCCGAUUAGCUAGUUGGUGGGGUAACGGCCCACCAAGGCGACGAUCGGUAGACGGACUGAGAGGUUGAACGGCCACAUUGGGACUGAGACACGGCACAGACUCCUACGGGAGGCAGCAGUGGGGAAUAUUGCACAAUGGGGGAAACCAUGAUGCAGCGACGCCGCGUGGAGGACGAAGGUAUUCGGAUUGUAAACUCCUGUUGUUGGGGAAGAUAAUGACGGUACCCAACAAGGAAGUGACGGCUAACUACGUG
rnacentral:rRNA from 1 species